GCUGGGCAUGGCGGUGCAAGCCUGUAAUCCCAGCAGUUUGGGAGGCUGAAGUAGGAGGAUUGCAAGAUCAAGGGCAGCCUCAGCAAAUCAGGGAGGCCUGAAGCAAGUUAGUAAGACCCUGUCUCAA
rnacentral:sRNA from 1 species